rnacentral:rRNA from 1 species
AUGUACAAUGGAAGUUCCAGUGAUGAACGAAGUAGAAGCUCAAGUGAUCGCGGUGACUUCUGGAACACAUAUAGUGCAGGCAACAAGGGGAGUAAACAUGGGAGUGAUGGUCCAUCAUGGAGGAAGAGCUUACCAGCGGGAACGAAUGAAGACAAAUCAGGAAGAGAAGGAGAAGAGAAAGAAGUCACCAGCCCCCUAAAGAAAACUCAAGAUGAUACAAAUGGAGAUGCGAAAGGCAGGGAAUUGGUGUUUGAAGAGAACAAGCAGCCAGGGGAGACUACCUAUACAAAUUUGAAGCCUAGCUCCUGA